GCCAACCAUAUUGCUUUAUUUUGCUCACAUGAUAAUACUGGAUACCUGAUGAAGUAUAUUGAUUCAGUCCUAGGACUGGAUUCAAAUGAAUUAACUAGUGAUUUAUUCAAUCUCGUUCCCCGAGCCUGCGAUCCUUGGGAAGGAAACGAAGGCUCUGGGAUAAUCCGUUUCAGGGAGGAUUCUGAUUGGCCGUUGAAAUGGAAUGUGUAGUUCAAUCUUAGCCACAAUUCCUGGCUUCCGGCAACGGAUUAUCCCAGAGCCUCGCGUUCCUUCCCGAGGAUCGCAGGCUCGGGGAACGAGAUUGUGAUUUAUUCGUACGAGAUGUCAUUUCAAAUCCUCCAAUUCCGACUGGACUAGAUUUCGGGUCCUCGCAUUUUGAUCC